ACGGAGGGUGCGAGCGUUGUUCGGAAUCACUGGGCGUAAAGCGCGUGUAGGCGGCCUCUUAAGUCCGAUGUGAAAGCCCGGGGCUCACCCCCGGAAGUGCAUCGAAUACUGGGAGACUCGAGUACCGGAGAGGAAGGUGGAAUUCCUGGUGUAGCGGUGAAAUGCGUAGAUAUCAGGAGGAACACCGGUGGCGAAGGCGGCCUUCUGGACGGAUACUGACGCUGAGACGCGAAAGCGUGGGGAGCAAACAGGA
rnacentral:rRNA from 1 species